GACGAACGCUGGCGGCGCGCCUAACACAUGCAAGUCGAACGGAGCUGAGAGAAGCUUGCUUUUCUUAGCUUAGUGGCGAACGGGUGAGUAACGCGUGAGUAACCUGCCCUGGAGUGGGGGACAACAGUUGGAAACGACUGCUAAUACCGCAUAAGCCCACGAUCCGGCAUCGGAUUGAGGGAAAAGGAUUUAUUCGCUUCAGGAUGGACUCGCGUCCAAUUAGCUAGUUGGUGAGGUAACGGCCCACCAAGGCGACGAUCGGUAGCCGGACUGAGAGGUUGAACGGCCACAUUGGGACUGAGACACGGCCCAGACUCCUACGGGAGGCAGCAGUGGGGGAUAUUGCACAAUGGGGGAAACCCUGAUGCAGCGACGCCGCGUGGAGGAAGAAGGUUUUCGGAUUGUAAACUCCUGUCGUUAGGGACGAUAAUGACGGUACCUAACAAGAAAGCACCGGCUAACUACGUG
rnacentral:rRNA from 1 species